AAAGGCCAAUGUUCACACAGUUAGCGUCUAGCUAAUGGCUACCGUUCGCGCUGCGAGAGAACAAAGGCCAAGGUUCACGCAGUUAGCAUCUAGCUAAUGGCUACGGUUCGCGCCGCGAGAGAACAAAGGCGAGGGUUCGCGCAGUUAGCAUCUAGCUAAUGGCUAUCCUUCGCGCUGCGAGAGAACAAAGACAAGGAAUUCCUGAUUUCCUUUUUGAUUCCCCGCCACGUGGAGGAAGAGGAGAAGCGGCUGGUGUAUCUGAUUUAUCUCCGGCUGAGAGGACCAUGGAGAGUGACAUUGCAGCCAUUGAUUGAGUCAGAACUGCAGACCCAGUUGAUGGACGAUGUGGUGGACAGAGGACACUGGACCCCCAAACACCCUGAGUACCGACCCAGAUGAUGUCCCACUGACACCAUCCAGCCCAGCAGCACUGCAGGGACUCCUGCUCAGCCUGUUACUGUAUAUCAUCUGUAACUGUUUAAUAUUGUUUUUAAUCAUAAUUGUUUUUGUUAAUAGUAAAUAAUAAUCUGUAAAUAGUUAUUUAUGCUGCAAUUUUGUAAAUAGUUGUAAAUGUUAAGACCUUAAAGAAAACAUUCAAUCCCAUGUUGUCCCUGAAAAGUAGCACUGCUGUUAUAAAUUGUACUUAAAUUGUAAAUACUAAAUAGAAUAGACAACAUAUAACAAUAGAAUAAAAUAUUUUAUUACAUGAAUUACAUAAAAUGUACAAUUAUAAACAAAUAACUUUAAAGAACUCAUAAAUGAACUAAAUAACUGAAAUAAUGAAAGGAUUGUCCUCUGGAGCAGAGAAGAGCCUCUCCAUCCUCUGUGCAGCCUCAUGUCCUCCUCCAUCCUCCCUCCUCCUCUUCCUUCUGGGCCCUGGCUUUCCUCCUACUCCUCAUCGUCUUGAUCCUCCUCCUCCUGGUCACUUGGCCCUGGUGUGCCCUCAGGGACGGAGGCAGUUAGGACAGAGAGGGCAGUGGAAGGCCUCUGUCCUGACACCUCAUCCAUGAGGACAAACCAGGACCCAGUAGCAGUGUUGGGCAUCCUGCUGACCCUCUCCUGUCCCUGGAUAUUAGCAAUCCUAAGGCAGUGGCAAUCAAUUACAUCAGCAAUUUUCAGCAAAUUAUGUAUAAACUUGCAUGGGUAAAACAAAUAUAAUUUAGUUUCCA